GACGAACGCUGGCGGCGUGCUUAACACAUGCAAGUCGAACGGAAAGGCCCUGCUUUUGUUGGGUGCUCGAGUGGCGAACGGGUGAGUAACACGUGAGUAACCUGCCCUUGACUUUGGGAUAACUUCAGGAAACUGGGGCUAAUACCGGAUAGGAGCUCCUGCUGCAUGGUGGGGGUUGGAAAGUUUCGGCGGUUGGGGAUGGACUCGCGGCUUAUCAGCUUGUUGGUGGGGUAGUGGCUUACCAAGGCUUUGACGGGUAGCCGGCCUGAGAGGGUGACCGGCCACAUUGGGACUGAGAUCCGGCCCGGACUCCUACGGGAGGAAGCAGUGGGGAAUAUUGCAAAAUGGGCGGAAGCCUGAUGCAGCAACGCCGCGUGCGGGAUGACGGCCUUCGGGUUGUAACCCGCUUUCGCCUGUGACGAAGCGUGAGUGACGGUAAUGGGUAAAGAAGCACCGGCUAACUACGUG
rnacentral:rRNA from 1 species